UAUUAGCUCAGCUGGUUAGAGCGCACCCCUGAUAAGGGUGAGGUCGCUGGUUCAAGUCCAGCAUG
rnacentral:tRNA from 1 species